AAAGAAAGAAAGAAAGAAAGAAAGAAAGAAAGAAAGAAAGAAAGAAAGCAAACAAAGGAAGGAAGGAAGGAAGGAAGGAAGGAAGGAAGGAAGGAAGGAAGGAAGGAAGGAAGGAAAGAGGGCAUUGCUUCAAAUCUGUUGGAGAUAUGUAAUUUAAAAAUCUCAUUGGAUAUUUCUAAUACACUACUAAUGAUACCUUAGAAACUGGCUCAAUGAUAGAGGGAUUUCUAAGCAGUGUAAUUUCUACAUUCGAUGAACAGCUCCAUGAAUAUGCAAUAUAAAGAAUGAUUGCAGCUAACAUUGUUUCUAAUAAGGCUUAUUCCAAUCUCUGGGUUGCUUUUAAUAAUCACAUAGUCAUUCAGAAGAUUUGUUCUCCUGCUCCAUUUUGAAGGCUGUUCUGUGCUUCAUAAAAUCAGUUCAUAUAAAACCACUGAGUUGAUUUUUCAUUUUGCCUUUUCUGGAUACCUAGGGAUACAAUUGCAACUUGUCAUUUAUUCUAUAUGCAUUUUUGAAAGAUAACAUUUUUUUGUAUUUUGGGGCUGUUGUAAAUAAAAUGCUGUAAUUACAUAGCUUAUAAACAACAAACAACUGUCACAUCCCAACCUAGAGGCUGAGAAGGCCAAGUAGAGCCAGCAGAGGUGGGUUCUAGUGUGAGCACACACUUCCUGCCUCACAGAUGAUGGUCUUGCUGUGCUUUCUCCUGUCAGAUGGGCAAAGGAUGUUCUUGGAGGCCUCUUUUAUGAGCACAAUAAGCCAAACCUGAGAGUCAGAGCCCUCAAUGUGAGCCCUUCACACAGGCUCCGCCACCACACACCCCCGUCUUGUGACUAAAUCUCAACAUAAUGGACUGGGAGAGUGGAUGGCACAAGGGUUCUGACUGUCACACCUGGGUGCGUGUCAUUCAAUAAGAGCAAUGAUGACUUGUUCCACCUAGAAAGUGCUCUGAAUAGAGAGGCAUCUCAAUGCAAUUUCUUCACCAUUACUCACUCAUCUUUUUGUGAUAUCACUUUCCUUUAUUAUCCAGAAACAUAAGUGGAGGAGGGAGAGCUACAGGGCAUGGAUCCACAGAAGAGGAAGUAGGAUAUCACUGUGAUAUAUUCUUUGUUUGUUUGUUUGUUUGUUUGUUUGUUUGUUUGAACUGAGUGUCAGAGAUCCUAGCAGGGUUCUACUCUAUGGACUGGAUGCCUCUUCUGUGAGGUCUUGAAUUCAUGGAAGUGAUUAAAAUCUGAUUUGGAUAGAUUAGCAUAUCUCAGAGAUUUCUAAUUAACUGAGAUUCUCUUCCCCUUGUCUUUUUUUCUCCCUCUUUCUUUUCAUUUUCAUUUUCAUUUUUUUUCUUGCCUUGAUUUUUGUUUUUAUUAAGUCAUUUUUUUUCUUUGUUAGGCAGAAUCUCACAUCAUAACCCCAAAUGACCUGUUACUCACCAUGUGGCCCAGCUGUCUUCAAACUCACCAGCCUCCUGCCUUAGCCUUCUAAAUGCUUGGAUUACAGGCAUGACCCACCAUAACUGGCUUUGUUUUAGUUUCAGAGAAGAUGAAACUGAUGUGCGUCAAAAAGCUGGUAGUCUGUCAAGGAAAUGAGCUGAACAUGUCUGUGUACAGCUUUUGUGCCAUCCCUGGAUGAGCGAGCUGUCUGCCUCUAUGUUCUCCACAAAAUGGAAUAUAGCUGUACACCCAAGCCAAGUUAUGGAGGCUGGGAAGACCUAGAAUGUGGCAUCACUAUUUGCUGAAAUUUUUAAUAUAAUGCCUCUUAGCCUGGUUUGGAGAAAACGUCACAGAGAGGCACCAUUUGUUGUGGUUUUACAUGAAAAUUUUCUGACCCUGAACCUGGUUUGAUGGAAAUCAUUUGCUGAGGUUAUUUAGAAAAUUGUUACCUCAAAAAUGACCUAGGGGUCCUUAGAAUAAUAACACACAGAAGAAUAGCCUCAUUUUUCUGUUGGGCCCAGGAAACCAUGCCGAUUACCGACCGAGCUCUCAAUGGAAAAAUGCAGUCGGCGUGAACCACGCACGAACACAGCAGAGAAAGAAGAAAACACACACCACGAGGAACCCUAAUAGGACAAUACAUUAUAAGUCACAGUGCUACGGAGAAACCCAGUAGCCACAUGGAAGCAGAGACCAUGCAUAUGCAUCUACUCCGCAGCUCUGUGAAUGUCAGCAGCUCCCACGGACUGGAGAUCCCGUGAGAUCCCGUGAGAUCUCACCCAUAGCCUCAUGGUACAUCCACUUGGUGUGCUGGGAGAGUCAGGAUGAGGACCUGAGAAGAACAGCAGCUUGAACCUGACUUCAUUUAACAGCCCACUGCCCUCUUGCCAAGAACCCAUCACAGACCUUCCCAGAAGAGAGGGAUGAGCCUCACCUAUGAAUAAGUCCUCAGAAACUCAAAUUUGAUUCUAAUGGAUUGUUUUCUCAGAAAGACUGAGCAUGUCCCCCCACAUCUCUGUCAUUUCCCACAGUAGUAACCUCUGCAGAUGCCACAUAGAAAACAAAACAAAACAAAAAAACAUGAGGUUGGUGGGCAGAUAGGCAGGGUAUAAACAAACAGCCUUGUAACCCAGAAGCUGUGUGAUAUACAGUAAACUUCACAACACUGAAAAGAUGUCCUAUCUGUUAAAAUGGGGUAAUAACAACUACCCGAAUGUUUAGGAAUAGAACUUCAAUAAAUGAUACAUUUUAUAGUACAGCAGACCAUCCUGUAAAGGUUUCAUCCUUCACUGUGGUGAUAAAUAUCCCAAACCACAUUGAAAAGCAUUGCAUCUACAUUUAUCUACACUGUAACUGUACUGUAAAUCAUGGGGGAGGGGAGAAUCAUAAAAACACCACCUGUCACCGUGUCAUUAAAGCAAGUUGGAAGUGAUACUUACAGAAACACAGCAAGAGCACCCCCAGUCACACAGUUCAAUCUCUUAGCAAGCGUUUUCUUUCUAGCCCAGUGGUUCUCAGUUUGGAAUUUUUGGCACUGCCUAGAGAUAGUUUUGUUGUUAAAACUGAGAAAAGAGCCGGGCGUGGUGGCACACGCCUUUAAUCCCAGCACUCAGGAGGCAGAGGCAGG
rnacentral:lncRNA from 1 species